UGGGGGAUUAGCUCAGCUGGGAGAGCGCCUGCUUUGCAAGCAGGAGGUCAUCGGUUCGAUCCCGUUAUCCUCCAU
rnacentral:tRNA from 4 species